CGAACUAACGUGAGCUUAUCUGUCUCCUUUAUGCCUAAAUAACUUAACCUUUACGUGAAAAGGCGUAAAUAAAAUUAAUAGACAAGAAGACCCUGUCGAGCUUAAUUGUACUUUCUACCUAAGGAAUUUUUCACCCUUAUUAAACAACACUCAAUUUAGUUGGGGCAACAGAGGAACAUUCAAACCUUCCUCUCCAAACGAUAUACUCAUCUAAACUCUCCAAUUUAUUUGAAUUUAAAAUUAAAGCUACCGCAGGGAUAACAGGUUAAUUUUUCUCAAGAGUACACAUUAACAGAAAAGUUUGGCACCUCGAUGUUGG
rnacentral:rRNA from 1 species